rnacentral:rRNA from 1 species
CCUACGGGAGGCAGCAGUGGGGAAUAGUGCACAAUGGGGGAAACCCUGAUGCAGCGACGCCGCGUGAGUGAAGAAGUAUUUCGGUAUGUAAAGCUCUAUCAGCAGGGAAGAAAAUGACGGUACCUGAUUAAGAAGCCCCGGCUAACUACGUGCCAGCAGCCGCGGUAAUACGUAGGGGGCAAGCGUUAUCCGGAUUUACUGGGGGUAAAGGGGGCGUAGACGGCAGCACAAGUCUGGAGUGAAAUGCCGGGGCUUAACCCCGGAACUGCUUUGGAAACUGUGCAGCUAGAUUGCAGGAGAGGUAAGUGGAAUUCCUAGUGUAGCGGUGAAAUGCGUAGAUAUUAGGAGGAACACCAGUGGCGAAGGCGGCUUACUGGACUGUAACUGACGUUGAGGCUCGAAAGCGUGGGGAGCAAACAGGAUUAGAUACCCCUGUAGUC